GAAACAUGAAAAUGAGGUACAGCCUAACAGCCUAAAGAGAGAGACAGCUGGACUAACGCUGAACUCAGGAUCUUUAAGCCUGAAACGAUGAGCCAUUCAGAGAGUGGCAAUGUGGGGGAAGAUGAAGUUUUUGAACCUCAACAUGAACAAUUAAACAGAGGGUCAAUGGUCACCACAAAAAUAGGGGCGGUGGUGGUUGUCUGUGUUCUCCUGGCAACUGCUGUCUUUUUGACGUUCUACUUCUGGUGAUUUACUGGAACAACAAAGAACCAGACAACUGGUUCCUCAUACCAGCAACUGGUAUGAGGAAAAUCCUGAUGGAGAAGUCUGUGACAGGACGGAGGUAAAAGGUGGCGCUCCUGGCCUGAAGUGUUGGUUUGAUAAAUGGUGCACUAAACCUCAAAGAAGUAACUUAACUGGACAGUUUGUAUUUGGUUUACAUCAAGUUCAGCGUACAAAACAAUCUAAGUACAGGGUAAAGAUAGUGAAAGGACAUUUUUCAGUUCUGAUGUCACAAACACUUAAAAGAAACUACAAG